rnacentral:rRNA from 1 species
GACGAACGCUGGCGGCGUGCCUAAUACAUGCAAGUAGAACGCUGAAGGAGGAGCUUGCUCUUCUGGAUGAGUUGCGAACGGGUGAGUAACGCGUAGGUAACCUGCCUGGUAGCGGGGGAUAACUAUUGGAAACGAUAGCUAAUACCGCAUAAGAGUAGAUGUUGCAUGACAUUUGCUUAAAAGGUGCAAUUGCAUCACUACCAGAUGGACCUGCGUUGUAUUAGCUAGUUGGUGGGGUAACGGCUCACCAAGGCGACGAUACAUAGCCGACCUGGGAGGGGGAUCGGCCACACUGGGACUGGGACACGGCCCAGACUCCUACGGGAGGCAGCAGUAGGGAAUCUUCGGCAAUGGACGGAAGUCUGACCGAGCAACGCCGCGUGAGUGAAGAAGGUUUUCGGAUCGUAAAGCUCUGUUGUAAGAGAAGAACGAGUGUGAGAGUGGAAAGUUCACACUGUGACGGUAUCUUACCAGAAAGGGACGGCUAACUACGUG